rnacentral:rRNA from 1 species
UCCAGACUCCUACGGGAGGCAGCAGUGGGGAAUCUUCCGCAAUGGGCGCAAGCCUGACGGAGCAAUGCCGCGUGAACGAAGAAGGUCUUCGGAUUGUAAAGUUCUGUCCUUAUCGAAGAGAGGGUAUAGAGUGAAAAAUGAUAUACUAGGACGGUAGAUGAGGAGGAAGCCCCGGCUAACUACGUGCCAGCAGCCGCGGUAAUACGUAGGGAGCAAGCGUUGUCCGGAAUUACUGGGCGUAAAGGGCGCGUAGGUGGGCGCUUAAGUCAGGUGUGAAAACGCCGGGCUCAACCUGGAGACUGCACUUGAAACUGGGUGUCUUGAGGGCAGGAGAGGAAAGUGGAAUUCCUAGUGUAGCGGUGAAAUGCGUAGAUAUUAGGAGGAACACCAGUGGCGAAGGCGACUUUCUGGACUGUACCUGACGCUGAGGCGCGAAAGCGUGGGUAGCGAACGGGAUUAGAUACCCCCGUAU